rnacentral:rRNA from 1 species
UACGGGGGGGAGCAAGCGUUGUUCGGAUUUACUGGGCGUAAAGGGCGCGUAGGCGGCCACCGCAAGUCGACUGUGAAAUCUCCGGGCUUAACCCGGAAAGGUCAGCCGAUACUGCGGGGCUAGAGUGCAGAAGGGGCAACUGGGAAUUCUCGGUGUAGCGGUGAAAUGCGUAGAUAUCGAGAGGAACACCUGCGGCGAAGGCGGGUUGCUGGGCUGACACUGACGCUGAUGCGCGAAAGCUAGGGGAGCGAACGGG